GAUGAACGCUGGCGGCGUGCCUAAUACAUGCAAGUCGAGCGAACAGAUGAGGAGCUUGCUCCUCUGACGUUAGCGGCGGACGGGUGAGUAACACGUGGAUAACCUACCUAUAAGACUGGGAUAACUACGGGAAACCGGAGCUAAUACCGGAUAAUAUAUUGAACCGCAUGGUUCAAUAGUGAAAGACGGUUUUGCUGUCACUUAUAGAUGGAUCCGCGCCGCAUUAGCUAGUUGGUAAGGUAACGGCUUACCAAGGCAACGAUGCGUAGCCGACCUGAGGGGGUGAUCGGCCACACUGGAACUGAGACACGGUCCAGACUCCUACGGGAGGCAGCAGUAGGGAAUCUUCCGCAAUGGGCGAAAGCCUGACGGAGCAACGCCGCGUGAGUGAUGAAGGUCUUCGGAUCGUAAAACUCUGUUAUUAGGGAAGAACAAAUGUGUAAGUAACUAUGCACGUCUUGACGGUACCUAAUCAGAAAGCCACGGCUAACUACGUG
rnacentral:rRNA from 1 species